AGAGUUUGAUCAUGGCUCAGGACGAACGCUGGCGGCGUGCUUAACACAUGCAAGUGGAGCGACGAACCGGGCUUCGGCCCGGGGCAAAGCCGCGAACGGGUGAGUAUCACGUGGGCAACCUGCCCCGAUGACCGGGACAACCCGAGGAAACUCGGGCUAAUACCGGAUGUGCUCCUCGCACAUCAGUGCAAGGAGUAAAGGAAGCUUCGGCCUCCGCAUUGGGAUGGGCCCGCGGCCCAUUAGCUUGUUGGUGAGGUAAAGGCUCACCAAGGCAACGAUGGGUAGCUGGUCUGAGAGGACGAUCAGCCACACUGGGACUGAGACACGGCCCAGACUCCUACGGGAGGCAGCAGUGGGGAAUCUUGCGCAAUGCGCGAAAGCGUGACGCAGCAACGCCGCGUGAGGGAAGACGGCCUUCGGGUUGUAAACCUCUUUCAGGAGGGACGAAGGUUCAGGCGCGAAUAGCGUCCUGGACUGACGGUACCUCCAGAAGAAGCCCCGGCUAACUACGUGCCAGCAGCCGCGGUAAUACGUAGGGGGCUAGCGUUGUCCGGAAUCAUUGGGCGUAAAGAACGUGUAGGCGGCCCGGUAAGUCCGCUGUAAAAGUCAAAGCCUCAACCUUUGAAUGUCAGUGGAUACUGCCGGGCUAGAGUCCGGAAGAGGCGAGUGGAACUCCUGGUGUAGCGGUGGAAUGCGCAGAUAUCAGGAAGAACACCAACGGCGAAGGCAGCUCGCUAGGACGGUACUGACGCUGAGACGCGAAAGCGUGGGGAGCGAACAGGAUUAGAUACCCUGGUAGUCCACGCCGUAAACGAUGGGCACUAGGUGUGGGAGGUGUCGACUCCUCCCGUGCCGGCGCUAACGCAUUAAGUGCCCCGCCUGGGG
rnacentral:rRNA from 1 species